UUCAGUUGUGCAGGUGCAGUACUCAGGUCUAACAGCUGGAGGCAGCAGCGUGCGGUCUGCCGAAAAACAAGAGAAGAAGAAGAGUUGCGCCAAUCAUGGCGCUGAGUUCAGUCCCCCAGACAUCAACCCGAGGUGACUGAUUCAUGUCAGUCAUGUCACCUGUGUCACCACACAGGCAGGUUCUUCCCUCUGGUUCCCGCGCUUCACACCGUCUGCCUGCUUCCACAGCCUGCUUGUGAUGCCGGUGAGAUCGGUCAUGAUGCUCCACUCUGGUUUACUUACAGUCCUGAAGAAGACUCUGUGGUGGAAACUGCGCCGCAGUUUGUUACUGAAGACGACGAUCCUGCGGAAGCUGCUGCCUAACCCUAACCCUCUGGCCUCCAGGUGAGACUGACAUCACUCAACGAGACAAGGUAACAAAUCUCUCACCUCUCAUUGGCUGGGAAUGGCUUUAUGUGCAGGAGGGGUCUGCAGGUGAUGCGGUCCUCAGAGCUCAGCCCUGUAAAUGAGUGGUGUUUAGAUAUUUUCUCAUUCCUCAGUGUUUCUGCUCUAAACUCAACCAGGAAGUGUAAACAUGUCCUCUCCUGAUGAUCCUGGGUUCUCUGAGCCGUCAUGUUCACCAGAGAACAUCCUCACAGCUUAAAUCAUGGGCCUUUCAAGGUACCCAAGGCCGCUUUACAGGGAAAGAAACACAAAAUAAAUAAAGAACAAAUGAAAGAAAACAAGACGAAACAGAAGAGGCAAGGCGGAGAUCGCAGGAGAUGAGGCAGCUGGAGGUCGGAGGUCUUGGUGAACGGCAGCUCAUCCCUCUGUUAGCGUACCGGUCCUCCUGCCGCUCCUCGAAACUGAAUCUACUGCAGGAAACACACUGACUGAACAUGACGACCUCACACUGCCCCACGUCUGAUACCCACAACCAUCACUUUAACUAGCCCAGGUCGUCUGCAGCGAGCUACUCAACAACAACAACAACAACA